rnacentral:rRNA from 1 species
GAUGAACGCUGGCGGCGUGCCUAAUACAUGCAAGUCGAGCGAACAGACGAGGAGCUUGCUCCUCUGACGUUAGCGGCGGACGGGUGAGUAACACGUGGAUAACCUACCUAUAAGACUGGGAUAACUUCGGGAAACCGGAGCUAAUACCGGAUAAUAUAUUGAACCGCAUGGUUCAAUAGUGAAAGACGGUUUUGCUGUCACUUAUAGAUGGAUCCGCGCCGCAGAAGCUAGUUGGUAAGGUAACGGCUUACCAAGGCGACGAUGCGUAGCCGACCUGAGAGGGUGAUCGGCCACACUGGAACUGAGACACGGUCCAGACUCCUACGGGAGGCAGCAGUAGGGAAUCUUCCGCAAUGGGCGAAAGCCUGACGGAGCAACGCCGCGUGAGUGAUGAAGGUCUUCGGAUCGUAAAACUCUGUUAUUAGGGAAGAACAAAUGUGUAAGUAACUAUGCACGUCUUGACGGUACCUAAUCAGAAAGCCACGGCUAACUACGUG